CAGCCGCCGCGGUAAUACGUAGGGUCCGAGCGUUGUCCGGAAUUAUUGGGCGUAAAGAGCUCGUAGGCGGUCUGUCGCGUCUGCCGUGAAAUCCUCAGGCUCAACCUGAGGCGUGCGGUGGGUACGGGCAGGCUAGAGUGCGGUAGGGGAGAAUGGAACUCCUGGUGUAGCGGUGGAAUGCGCAGAUAUCAGGAAGAACACCGAUGGCGAAGGCAGUUCUCUGGGCCGUAACUGACGCUGAGGAGCGAAAGCGUGGGGAGCGAACAGGAUUAGAUACCCCUGUAGUCCCUGUCUCUUAUAC
rnacentral:rRNA from 1 species